rnacentral:rRNA from 1 species
AGUGAACGCUGGCGGUAGGCCUAACACAUGCAAGUCGAACGGCAGCACAGUAAGAGCUUGCUCUUACGGGUGGCGAGUGGCGGACGGGUGAGGAAUACAUCGGAAUCUACUUUUUCGUGGGGGAUAACGUAGGGAAACUUACGCUAAUACCGCAUACGACCUACGGGUGAAAGCAGGGGAUCUUCGGACCUUGCGCGAUUGAAUGAGCCGAUGUCGGCUUAGCUAGUUGGCGGGGUAAAGGCCCACCAAGGCGACGAUCCGUAGCUGGUCUGAGAGGAUGAUCAGCCACACUGGAACUGAGACACGGUCCAGACUCCUACGGGAGGAAGCAGUGGGGAAUAUUGGACAAUGGGCGCAAGCCUGAUCCAGCCAUACCGCGUGGGUGAAGAAGGCCUUCGGGUGGUAAAGCCCUUUUGUUGGGAAAGAAAAGCAGCAGGUUAAUACCCCGCUGUUAUGACGGUACCCAAAGAAUAAGCACCGGCUAACUUCGUG